UUAGUAAAGGAAGGCUGUCCACCAUUUUGUGCACUCGUACAUCGUUACCAAUUGUAGGUCUGCCACCGACGCGUAUUUUAUCCUCAUCUGUAAAAUAUUUUAAUUAUUACUGAAUUUUUUGAUACUCGAAAGUCUCUUUCCGGUUAUUGUAACUGAACAUUUUAAAUAAAUUCUUCUUUUAAGAACUUAUAAGUUUAACGUGUUAAAGCUUUUGUAUUUUGUUUUUCGUGUUAUUUAAACGAAAUUUUUAAACAUGGGAUCUGAUGAACCUGAACAGUAUAGAAAACUCUUUAUUGGUGGACUCAAUUACACCACUACAAAUGAUUCCCUUAAAGAAUUUUUUGAACAAUGGGGAGAAAUUGUUGAUGUUGUAGUCAUGAAAGAUCCUCAGACUAAAAGGUCUCGAGGAUUUGGUUUUAUUACAUAUUCUCAAUCAUCCAUGGUUGAUCAAGCCAUGUCAAAUAGGCCUCAUAAAAUUGAUGGGCGUGAAGUUGAAACUAAGCGUGCUGUGCCUCGUGAUGAUAUUGAUAAACCUGAUAUUGCUGCUACUGUUAAAAAAAUGUUUGUGUCUGGAAUUAAAGAACAGUCAGAAAAUGAAUUGCAUGAAUAUUUUGGAAAAUUUGGAAAUAUAACAAAUGUUACUAUUGUUACUGAUAAAGAUUCUGGCCAGAGAAAAGGAUUUGGAUUUAUUGAAUAUGAUGACACAGAUUCCGUUGAUAAAGCUGUGUUAAUCAAAACCCAUCAAGUUGCUGGAGGCAAAUUAGAUGUUAAAAAGGCUAUUAGUCGCAGUGAGAAUGCUGGAGGUGGUCGAGGUAAUCGUGGUGGACGUGGAGGUGGUGGAGGAAAUAGAAGUUGGGGUGGAAAUCCAAGAAAUGAUCAAUGGGGUGGCCAUCAUAAUAGUCAAGGUCCAGCCAUGGGUAGAAUGAGGCAGUUCAAUUCUGUUAAGCCAAAUGGCCCAUCAUUUAAUAAUCCACGUUCAAAUGGCGGUGGAUAUGGAAAUUCUGGAAUGGGAGGUGGAUAUAACUCUGGUGGAGGAUAUGGUGGAAAUGCAGGAUACAACUCAAAUUCAGGUGGUGCUUGGCAAGGAGGUGGCGGAGGAGGUGGUCCUCAAGGCUGGGGUAACAACCCAGCUUGGGGAAACCAAGGUGGAGGAGACAAUUGGGGAAAUUCUCAAACAAGCAAUAAUUGGGGUCCCAGCCAAAGUUAUGGCGGUGGCGGUGGCCCAAUGAGAUCCAAUUAUUCUUCUAAUAGCCGUUCUGCACCUUAUGGAAACCCAGGUAGAGUGGGUAAUGGAAAUGUUGGUAAUCCUGGUGGAUAUGGUCAAAAUGCUGGAAGAAGAUAUUAAAAUGGAUCUUAAAUAUCAAGGGAUAAUUUGAUAAUAAGGUUUUAAAAAAAGUCAAUAUUAAUUUGGUUAUUUUCUCAGUUAAGUGUGCUAUUUAACUUGUUUUUUCUUUUAAUUUAUUGAUACUAAUGUUAAAUCUCAUUUCUAUUGUGUUGAUGAUUAAAAAUACAUAUAUUUAUUAACUAUUUUAUUAUUGUGCAAUUAUAUUUGUCAUUAGGUAUACUUCUAAAUAAAAAAUUCUUAUUUUAAGAGCUAACUAGAUGUGUAAAGUUACUGAAAUUGUGAAGUAUGUUUUUCAAGAAAUUAAAUAUUGCAUCAAUACUUUUAUACUAACUGAAAAUUUUUGUUGAAUAUUAGGCAAUCAAAUUAUAACUUUUAGCUCUAGUUAAAUGGUAAAACAUUUGUGGUACAUCCAAACAAAAACUGAAAUACUAAAGUACUGUAAUAUAUUUUUUUAAAUGUUCAUUUUUAUAAUUUGAUAUAAGUUUAUUACAAAAUGUUAGUUUUUCUUCAACAAUCUUUGGCUUUUUAUUUUAGGUAAGCUGUAAGCAGUUAUCAAAUAUUUACUAAAUUGCUUUUAUAUCAAUUUUUCUUAACUAUGUCACCACAUAAAUGAUAGAAAAGAUAAAUAAUUCAUAUGUUAGUGUAGGUUUAUUAGAUAUCAUAGAAAAAUUAGCCAUUUAGGUCUUAUGCUGACAUCAAGUGGGUUUAAGACUCAUCAGACCACAUAGGUGAAUCAAUUUAGGGCAGAAAACCUCGAUAAUGAAUCGUAGGUAGGUCAAUCAAAUGCUGAAGGUAAAUCUUAGCUUCAUUGUAGGGGUUGUAAGUAAUUAAUUUUGUUUCACUUUCAUAGUGUUUCUUUAAUAAACAACAAAUUUUGAAAAAGAUUCUAGUGUACUAUUUUUCUAUAAAAUUUUGAAAUAGUGAUAAAAUUUAAACUAAUAAAAAUUAUUAUGCUAUCAACUGAUUGCUGUAUUUAAUUACUUUUUGUAUAUUAUCUUAUUAAAUAUUAAAAUUUAAUAGUGCCAAUCAUUUUUUAUAGUUAAAAAAGUCAUAAAGAGGACUAUUGUUUAUACUCAAAAUUUGUUGUUAGUUUCCUGAAAUUUAUUGGAAGGAGCUAUCCAACUUAACAAAUUAUGGCAUUUCAUGAAAUAUAUAGCAAAAUAGAAAUUUUACUGUGGUCCAACUUAUGAAGUAUGGAGCUUGUUGAAUUUUGCUGUAUUGUAGUUAUGGUUUUGAUAAUGAUGGUACAUGAUAACUUCAAAGAAGAGAAGUAUCUUUUAAAACAUUAAGAGUUAUUCAUAAAAAUUGAUGAUCACUACUGUACUUCAUGCAUUCAAGUGUAAACAUUGUUCAUUUUAGACUAUCGAAUACACCUGUACUUGUAUUUUAAUAAAUGCAGUUCUAAUUUAUUAAAUGAGCAGUUAUUAUAAAUAUUUAAAAAAUUAUUCAAAAUAACUUGUAUUUAUAUAUUUUUGUAUUAUUAAUUUUUUCAAGUAAAAUACAUGACAAAAUAGGUUUUUUUA